GACAAAUCUUAUGAGUCUGAAAAAUGUCAUUAUUCUGCCCUUCGACGUGGUGGAUGAUUUGGCUGGACAUAGAAUUUUGAGUUGAAAAUAUUGGUUUCACCAGAAAUUUAAAGGCAUUGUUCCAUUGUCUGCUUGAAAUGGGUUCUAAUUCAACAGUCACUCAACAAACAUUCCAGGUACUACUCCAGGCACUAGAGAUAGAAUGUUGAAUAAGACAAAGUCCCUGCUUCAUGGAGGAGACAAACAACAAACAAAAACGAAACAAGAAGUCAGACUUGGUGGUGAUAAGUGCUAUGAAGAAUUUAAAUAAGGCCAAGGGCGUAAAUGCUGACUGGGGACUGUUAUUUUAGAUAUGAUGGGCAGGGACACCUUCUCUGAGGAGGCGACACUUGAGAUGAGACUUGAAUCAUGAGAAGUAAUGAGUCAUGCGAAGAUACAGGGAAAUCAUGUUCUAGUCAGCGGCAACAGCAAAGAAAGGUCUUUGAGGAUAAAAUGAGUCUGACAUAUUCAAGAAACUUCUGGAAGGCACAUGCAGUUGCAGUGUGGACACGAGGGAGAGAGCACUGGAAAACGAGUUUGGUUCUGAUUCUCAUUACUUUGAACCACUUCAAAGCUGACUGGACAAAUGAAUGAGACAAACUGACACCAUUGCCACGUGGUGGCGCCACUUCCGCCCUAAGCAGCUCCCUGCGGUUUUUCUUAGGAUUGUGGGAACCACACUGUUUAUAGGCAUGGGAACUUCGGCCUGUGAUUUUAGUGUGAUUAAAAAGCGUUUCUACAUCUCAAAGCAAUUCCACCCAAGCAUUAUGCGUUAGUACUAACAUGAGGACUAAAAAAAAUGCUUCGGGGUUAAUAAACUAGGAACAGACGGAUGUGAAAGAAAGCGUCGCAGGAAGCCCACAUAGUGCCCCAUGGUGUGCCAGGAUGUUAAUUUCGAGGAAAACACUGUGCAAGAUGGAAGUGAUGCUGAGAGCAUAAAAACAGCGCUAAGGGGAAAAUAAGCCACAGUGGGCAGAGAUACAGGCCCUCUCUCUGAACGUGUUCCCUUUACUUUUGUGCUUGUUCUUAUGGGAAAAUUUGACUCAAAUUAUUGGGGGUUGAAUUACACAAGAACUUCAGGAAAACCUUAUAAAAUGUGAUCACUCUGAACAGCUCUAUUCCUGAAUAAAGGUUUUCUGUUUUUAGGGGGUUUUCAUAUACGUGGUCUUGUCUAGGUCACGCUGGGCCUGUGCAGAAGGUGGCGGGUGGGCCCAUGUUACACCCGGUGAAAGCGUUUGGGCAAUUGAUCCAAGUCAUGGCUAGAAAGCAGAGGAGUCAGGACUAAAACUCCAGCCUUCAGACCCCCAUUCAGAAUUCACCCUUGGUCCUUUGAUAUUACAGGAUUUUGGUGAUUGCAAAACUCUGUCUUCUCAAGGAAUCUCCUCCCCAACCCAAUCAAAACUUGUAAAUAUGUGAAAAAAAUGAGUUAUGAUCCGUUGAAUUCAG
rnacentral:lncRNA from 1 species